rnacentral:lncRNA from 1 species
UAGCCUUAGGAUAUAAAGAUAUCAUAGGUCCAUGACAUGAAUGCAUAAAGAAGGGGAAUGAGAUGAAGAGGAGGAGGAAUGGAUUCAACACAAAUUGGUCAAAGGAGGACUUUUACCAAAUUAAGAUCAUUCAUUCAUUUUGGGAGAUGGAAUGUACAUUCCAUCAAUCCCCUAAAUCCAAUGAUCAUAGAAUUUAGGCAAGUGUUUUUAAAUUUCAUCAAUCCCCUAAUCCUAAGCCCAAAUUUAAAAGUUGAGAGUUGAAAAGAUCUAACCAAUGGGUUGUAAUCCAAUAGACAAGAAUGUCAUAUAGAAACCCAAAUUUCCCUUGGACUUUAGAAUCAAGCAACAAACAAUACACAAAUAGCAAGUUAAAGAGAAAGGCAUCAAAUAGAUAGCCAUAUCCAAGCUUAGCAACUCCAUGAUCUUCUUCAAAUUUUGCCCAUGCAUCAGAUGACUUCAAAGAUGGCAUAAGUCAUAG